rnacentral:rRNA from 1 species
UACGUAGGUGACCAGCGUUGUCCGGAUUUACUGGGCGUAAAGUGUGCGCAGGUGGCCGCGCAAGUCGAGUGUGAAAUCCCCGAGCUUAACUUGGGAAUUGCGCUCGAAACUACGUGGCUCGAGUGUGGCAGAGGAAGGUGGAAUUCCACGUGUAGCGGUGAAAUGCGUAGAGAUGUGGAGGAACACCGAUGGCGAAGGCAGCCUUCUGGGCCAACACUGACGCUCAUGCACGAAAGCGUGGGGAGCAAACAGG